rnacentral:rRNA from 1 species
CGUAGGGUGCGAGCGUUGUCCGGAAUUAUUGGGCGUAAAGAGCUCGUAGGCGGCUUGUCGCGUCGGAUGUGAAAGCCCCGGGCUUAACUCCGGGUCUGCAUUCGAUACGGGCAGGCUAGAGUUCGGUAGGGGAGAUCGGAAUUCCUGGUGUAGCGGUGAAAUGCGCAGAUAUCAGGAGGAACACCGGUGGCGAAGGCGGAUCUCUGGGCCGAUACUGACGCUGAGGAGCGAAAGCGUGGGGAGCGAACAGG